GGGCGUGUAACUCAGUGGUAGAGUGCUCGCUUUGCAUCACGUGUGCGAGAAGCCCAGGGUUCGACUCCCUGCUCGUCCA